AGUUUGAUCCUGGUUCAGGAGGAACGCUGGCGGCGUGCUUAACACAUGCAAGUCGGAGCGAUGAAAUUUCCUUCGGGAAAUGGAUUAGCGGCGGACCGGGUGAGUAACACGUGGGUAACCUGCCUCAUAGAGGGGAAUAGCCUUUCGAAAGGAAGAUUAAUACCGCAUAAGAUUGUAAUGUCGCAUGACAUAGCAAUUAAAGGAGCAAUCCGCUAUGAGAUGGACCCGCGUCGCAUUAGCUAGUUGGUGAGGUAACGGCUCACCAAGGCGACGAUGCGUAGCCGACCUGAGAGGGUGAUCGGCCACAUUGGGACUGAGACACGGCCCAGACUCCUACGGGAGGCAGCAGUGGGGAAUAUUGGACAAUGGGGGAAACCCUGAUCCAGCGACGCCGCGUGAGUGAAGAAGUAUUUCGGUAUGUAAAGCUCUAUCAGCAGGGAAGAAAAUGACGGUACCUGACUAAGAAGCCCCGGCUAACUACGUGCCAGCAGCCGCGGUAAUACGUAGGGGGCAAGCGUUAUCCGGAUUUACUGGGUGUAAAGGGAGUGUAGACGGCUGUGCAAGUCUGAAGUGAAAGCCCGGGGCUCAACCCCGGUAUUGCUUUGAAAACUGUGUAGCUAGAGUGCAGGAGAGGUAAGUGGAAUUCCUAGUGUAGCGGUGAAAUGCGUAGAUAUUAGGAGGAACACCAGUGGCGAAGGCGGCUUACUGGACUGUAACUGACGUUGAGGCUCGAAAGUGUGGGUAUCAAACAGGAUUAGAUACCCUGGUAGUCCACACAGUAAACUAUGAAUACUCGCUGUUGGCGAUACA
rnacentral:rRNA from 1 species